GAAGGGGUGGGGGUGGGGGCGCGGGCGCUGGACAUGGUAAGAGGUGUUUGAACAGGCUUUUAUUAUAGACUAAACUAACAAGGCGCCUCGAUUUGAACGUGUGUUUAUUUUCGUAAGUUCAUAACGAACCAAAACAGUUGUGCAAUCGUUGAUGCAGGUCGCAGCAAGAAAAGACACCCGUCUCAUGUGAUUACAGGUCACGUGACUGCCGUCACGCGGUCAUGACAGAUUAUCUGUUUAUAUAGUAUAUAAAUCAUUAAGACGUCGAUAGGUGUACUUGUUUUAUAAAUAAUACCAGGGAUUCUAGCAAGUAAAAGAAGAAACUCAGACAGCAAAAGCCUAAAUAGAAUACAAUGAGUUACCCUCCGCAACAACCUCCCCAAUAUGGACCCGGACCUCAGAUGCAGCAGCCGUCCUAUCAGCAAGGCCAAGUCUACUGCCCUCAAGCACCGCAACAAACAGUCGUGUAUGUAGAUAGACGAAGAGACGAAGAGGAAGAGGUAGCGCAAUGUUUUCUCAUCGGCUGUUGUUACGCAAUGCUGUGUUGCUGUUUACUGGGUUCAAACUAAUCUUGCAGCGUGUUCACCCCAAUCCAUUGUCGCCGUAGUCCAUAUUUCACCAGCAGCCAUCAUUUUGUGUCAUCCUUCAUCGCAAACAGAUAAUUCCAUUGUUAGAUAUAGACUUAUUCGCGCUUGCCAACUGUCUUUAAUUGCAAGCACCUUUAAGCAACGAGUUCAAUGUCUAGCGAAGAACUUUGAACCUGGGAUAGCUCGAGUGUCUUGUAAACCGACCCCGAGCUAAGUGUGCGGGCGCAGUAUACGAGUAGGAAUAAAAGGAAUCCUUGAAGGGAUUUUUAUUUCAUUCUUCUUACAUUAUAAUCAUGUUCAUCAAAAUAUAUGACGCACUGAUGUGACGCACUGCCCUAAACAGAAUAUCAUGCAUUGCUUUUACCCACAAUGUCGAAAGGCGAGUUUAUAUGCUAGUUUACCCCCCCCCCCCCUCCCCCGCCUCCCAAGUUGCUGUCAUUUCCUGACGCUUACGUUAUACUGGGAAUACAUUUUCUUUAGUAAUAUAUAUUUUAAAUAAUUUAGAAUGGAUCACAUUAUCCAUAUUAAUUUUCUUACCGUCACACAACCAUUCUUGGAUAUCUAGUCACCAAUUCAACAUACAGUAGCCCAACAUAUUCUCCAUUUUAACGCUCCCAUAGUGGAACGGUAUUCCACGGUUUCGUGUUCGUGUUCUACCGUAUUAAAAAAAAAAGUCACACGCAAAAACGCAAAAACAAAACAAACAAGCAAAACAAACCAACAACACCAACAAACACAAGACUGCUGACGAUAACUGUUAACAACAGACGACUUUAUUAACUGUAUAUGUUUUUAUUUUGCGGUGGUUGAUGAUGUAAAAUGGCGAAGUGAUUUUGUAACUAACGGAUUUGGCAUGACUGUUCAUUACAAAAAGACAGGAAUGCAUUUGUUUUGCUCAGAUCGUAAAACGGGGAUACGAUAGAAUAGACAGUAAGAUUAGACCGCAGUGGCGGA